rnacentral:rRNA from 1 species
AUUGAACGCUGGCGGCAGGCCUAACACAUGCAAGUCGAACGGUAACAGGAAGAAGCUUGCUUCUUUGCUGACGAGUGGCGGACGGGUGAGUAAUGUCUGGGAAACUGCCUGAUGGAGGGGGAUAACUACUGGAAACGGUAGCUAAUACCGCAUAAUGUCGCAAGACCAAAGAGGGGGACCUUCGGGCCUCUUGCCAUCGGAUGUGCCCAGAUGGGAUUAGCUAGUAGGUGGGGUAACGGCUCACCUAGGCGACGAUCCCUAGCUGGUCUGAGAGGAUGACCAGCCACACUGGAACUGAGACACGGUCCAGACUCCUACGGGAGGCAGCAGUGGGGAAUAUUGCACAAUGGGCGCAAGCCUGAUGCAGCGAUGCCGCGUGUAUGAAGAAGGCCUUCGGGUUGUAAAGUACUUUCAGCGGGGAGGAAGGGAGUAAAGUUAAUACCUUUGCUCAUUGACGUUACCCGCAGAAGAGGCACCGGCUAACUCCGUG